UUCGAAGAUGGAUGUAGUGAUAUUCAGCAAUGAGCUUCUCCACCUUUCAUCCUCCCACCCGAUGACCAGAACCAAAUCUGGGAUGCUGUGAGGACUUCCAGGUGUCAAUGAGUUGAAAAGGUUGCCCCAAACCAGGACUGUUAGAAUUUAGGUUCCUUAUUGGGUUUCUUUCUAGAUAGAUGGGAGCUGAGAAAAACUGGUUAAGACUUCCGAUUUGAGAUCUUAUGAUCAGGGACAUGGUAAAAACUUUUCUGUUCUUCCUGGGGUGGUAGAGAGAGAGCCACAGUUCUGCUUUGACAGUUGAUAGAUUUGUGUGAACUUGGCAACAACUCAGGCCUGAAGAGACCAGCUGGGAUCCAGCCUGGUAUUGUGUUUACAUUUUUGAUUAUUUUUGGUGGUGUGGGUCUUGAAAAGGGAAAUCAAAAACCAACAAUUUCACAGACAUACCCUUAAAGCAGCCUAUUUCGUCAAGCCAGGAAAUAUUUCACUGAAAGUUUUCCCUGGAAUGUGACUCACAUGUAGGGCCCUAGGAAUGGUUUGAAGUUGGAGUGUGGGUUUUAAAUGUAUCGAUUUUCCUGGAUGCAUGGCAUAGGUGAACAUAGCAAAACCUGAUAUUUGCAUUUGGUUACUGCCCUUUGAGGAUCCAACGAUUAAAAGUGCCAGGUAUGACAUGUCCACUCAGACUUAGUGUGAUGGAUCAUGACAAGCUUUCAGGGUAGCUCACGAAGGACCCCUAGCGACAGCAUUGGGGCUGUGCCACCUCCACACCUGGGUUCACUGGGUUCGCCCAUCCUGACAAAGGAAAGUCCACAUAGAUCCGCCUCUAGGACAUCCCAUCAGUGUCACCCCAGCCUCAGGGACGAAGGCCUCACUCCCAUUCUCAACAGGCCUCCCUGCCGCUGUCCAGGCUGCUUCCAAGUGUUUCCUCAACUUCUCCCCACCCUCUAAACCUCCCCUUCCUUACACUUAGCUUUCCCCCCCCAUUAUUUCCUCAGGGGCCCCAAGUCUCCCCUCCAUACUUCACUCAUGUCCCCAUCUGCCCCAGAGUGAGGAAGCUCCUGCAGGCUCUGCAAGCCUCGGGCCUCUCUCUUCCAUCCCUCCCUGUGAGGUCUAGUUCUCUCUUUCACAGGCUCUUCCUCUCCCCUCGGGGAAGAAGGAGGUUGGAGGGAGGGUCCCCACCGAUACUGCACAUGGUGGGUCUCAAAUUCAGACCUUCAGUAUUCUCUCUAAAAGAGGUCAAA